rnacentral:rRNA from 1 species
GACGAACGCUGGCGGCGUGCUUAACACAUGCAAGUCGAACGGGGUGUUUAUUUCGGUAAACACCAAGUGGCGAACGGGUGAGUAACGCGUAAGCAAUCUACCUUCAAGAUGGGGACAACACUUCGAAAGGGGUGCUAAUACCGAAUGAAUGUAAGAGUAUCGCAUGAGACACUUACUAAAGGAGGCCUCUGAAAAUGCUUCCGCUUGAAGAUGAGCUUGCGUCUGAUUAGCUAGUUGGUGAGGGUAAAGGCCCACCAAGGCGACGAUCAGUAGCCGGUCUGAGAGGAUGAACGGCACAUUGGGACUGAGACACGGCCCAGACUCCUACGGGAGCAGCAGUGGGAAUCUUCCGCAAUGGGCGAAAGCCUGACGGAGCAACGCCGCGUGAACGAUGAAGGUCUUAGGAUCGUAAAGUUC